UUAUUUGAGAGUUUGAUCCUGGCUCAGGAUGAACGCUGGCGGCGUGCCUAACACAUGCAAGUUGAGCGAUUUACUUCGGUAAAGAGCGGCGGACGGGUGAGUAACGCGUGGGUAACCUACCCUGUACACACGGAUAACAUACCGAAAGGUAUGCUAAUACGGGAUAAUAUAUUUGAGAGGCAUCUCUUAAAUAUCAAAGGUGAGCCAGUACAGGAUGGACCCGCGUCUGAUUAGCUAGUUGGUAAGGUAACGGCUUACCAAGGCGACGAUCAGUAGCCGACCUGAGAGGGUGAUCGGCCACAUUGGAACUGAG
rnacentral:rRNA from 1 species